rnacentral:lncRNA from 1 species
GAUUGUCAUCGUAUUUAUUUGUUUGAUGUGUAUCACUUCCAGUUCCUGCAUAUACUAUGCUUCUACACCAUAAUUUUUAAAGGAGCACUAUUUGGAAUUUGGUAAGAAUUCUUUAUUUCCUGCAUUAUGAAUCUGAUUUUAGUUUUAGUGAAGUAAAAGGUUGGGCAUAUUUAUUUAGCAUGGCUGGCAUAUUUUAAAUUAUAAAACUGUAUCCCAAUUGUAGGUGCUCAUGAGUUUUAUUUUGGUAGGUUGAAUUUCAAACAAAGCAAGUUGUUAGUUUUAUGGUAGUACGAAUCAGGUGCCUUUUCAAUGCGGAUAACUUGGUGCGAAAUAUCCCUUAUAGUUAGUUGUUCAAGUUCCUGUUCCAAAGUUUUUUUCUUUGCCCUCGAACUGGCUCAUUAUAUAUCUUGUUAUCAAUAUCAUGUAGUUUAGACUUCUAAAGGUUCCUUAUGGUGUUAUGUCAGACAUUAUAUGUUGUGUUUUUAUAAUUUCUUAGUUUUCCUAUUGUAACGUGAUCUCUUUAGAAUUGAUUUAUAGUCUCUUAUAAGAUUUGACAUCACU